UUUCUCCCCUUGUGUGUAUCACGCAACAACAACAUACAAACAAAACCCGUACCAACUUCCAACAACAAAAACAACGGCAAAGCCCAAUACCCAAAUGGCUUCCUGCAAUAUCAAAAACAACAGCAAUUUCAACAACGUUUAACAACGACAAACAACGUUCAGCGACAAGAACAACUUUGUCGAUACCAACGAGCAACAACAAUUCAAUAGUUUCAACGUGCAAAUCCGAUUUCAACCCGUACCCGUCGGCGACCCAACCCACAAACACCGCAAGUUCAACCAAAUAAACCCCCUAAAUCAUGAAAUAUCUCCCUUCAUCUUAUCUCUGCAAUUUUGCAUACUUAGAGCCAUCGUUGUUGAUUUUGGCUCAAGAUUGCGUGUUUCCAAAUCCAAAAUUCAAUCCAAAUCAGAAGAUGUUCGAAUUUUAGGGAUAUGUAUGGAAAAGCCAAUAUCUUUCCCUAUAAAUAGGGAUUGAAGGGAAGAAGGCAAGGGUGGAUUUUUUGAGGAUUUCUUGGGGAAAAUUUUGGAGAUUCUGGAGGAGCUUUCCUCUAAUCUCACGUAACCGAGUAAUUCGUUGAAUUCAUUAAUUCCAGCAAAAAUCAAGCUAAAUUCUGAUUUUUGAAGUCGUCUUUGUCGUCUCGUCGUCCCGGUUCCUGCGUCUAAAAAGGUUUGGGAUUUGUUUCUUGGUCCAUCUGAUCAUUACAAGUGUCAGCUCAGUGUGCACACAAACUGUGGUAGUGUUGAGUAAUAUUACGCCGACGAUUCUUGAAAAAUCAAUCCUUUAAUUACCUGAUUUCAAAUCUGUGAAUGCGGUUGUGAACUCUGUUGAUUUGCCUGGUACCAAUAAAUAAGAAUGUAGUCAUUUGAGCUCAGAUAAUGAAUUGACACUUUUGAGAAGUGAUGUUAAAAUGUUAACGGAAAAGGUUUCCUCGAUGGAGAAGUUUAUGAAAUCCUCAUUUGAAUUGAUUUUUCGAGCUCUACAUAUAAAGAAUGAAUCUAAGCUUGCUACAUCAAAUGGGGAUAACAAUGGUGACAACUUAAAGAAAAAAAUGAUUAUACACCUAAUGUUGGUGGUAUAGGUGAUGAUCAAGUUGAUGAUCCACUUAAUGUGGGAAAACAAAAUGCUGUUGCACCGGAACUGAAUCAUAUAAAUGACAAUUUGAUGGAUGAUGUAGGGGUGGUGAUGUAUUUGAUCAUUUGGUGGAUGACGUUGGAGAGAGUUAAUUUUGUAGGUGAUUAUGUAGUUGGUCAUGUCGAUGUUGAGUCUGCGGCCGAAACUUUCAAGGAUGGUGCUUGGAAGAAUUUUUCAAAUUUUGAUGGUGUUUGGAAGAAUUUUUCAAAUUUUGAUUUUUUGAAAUUCACACAAAGCUCAGGUGAAAAUAAGGUUAUAGGGAGGGUAGAAAUAGUCAGGUUGACAGUGAUUGGUCUAAUUUUACUGAUUCUGAAGUGUUCAAAUUUACUCAAUCUUUUCGUGAUAAAAAAUACAAAAAGAAGGUGAUGUGGCAGUGCUUAGCCAGAAUGAGUUUGAUUGGUUAGAAAUUUCAGAUGUUGAAAUUUCUAAGUUCACUCAACCCGAUAAGAGUGUUGUAAUGAUUGAUGCAACUGGUUUAGUAUGUGAUAAUGUUAGAAAGGUUGAUGCAAAUGCAAGUGAUAAUGUUAGAGGGAUUGAGGAAAAUAUAGUGGUUGCCUCUGUUAUGUUGGCUGAAACACCUGUUAUUCCUUGCUAUGUGAAUCGUCAUUUUUGUCAAAAUUUGAUUCUGGUUGUGGCAAAGUUGAAGGUCAACCAUCUAAGCGUAUAGAGAAUGCUUAGCCAAGAAAACGCCUUUUGUCUAUAAAGCAUCCUUUUGUGAAGAUUAUUACGGAGCGAAUUGAUGAUAUGAGACUGACAUUAUAGUUUAACAGAUUCUAUCAAUGCUCUCCCAAAAUAAUUUGACUAUGAAGUUGAUACCGUUAAAAUGAAAGAGUGGUUACAUUGGCAUAUCCAGAAAUACCCUUAACCAAUUAAGUAAGUAAUGAAUUUAUUAGUUAAGUAGGUUAUAUAGCUUUUAUGUUUGUACUUGAUAGUGAUAAGCUAAUUGGAAUAUUAAAUUUUUGUUUAUGAU